rfam:Vitis vinifera, whole genome shotgun sequence of line PN40024, unoriented chromosome 9, chr9
GAAGCCGUGAUGAACUGCUAACAUAUAAGAAGAACUGUCUUUGAUGGUCUCUUCAAUGAGAUAUACUUGUUACGCUUGGCUUCUGAGCUUC